AUGGAAGCCGCCCCGAGUCCAGAACGGUGCUCAGGACCGUGCCUCCCGAGGGGUCCCGCACAGUCUGCCAGGCCGCUGUCAGCCCUCACGCGGGGCAGAGGGGCUCGGGGAAGGCUUGGCCUCGGAUGCAGCCCCUGCGGUCUCCGCGCGGCCAGUCCCCGGGCGCGGGGUCAGCUGCCGCCCCUCGCGGAGAAGGCUCUGCCCCGCGAGCCCCUUCCCACCCGGGCGCGGCGGGGAGCGCGGGUCUCUGACGCCCUCGGAGCCCAGCGGCUGUCAGUGCCCCGGGGGCUCGCCGGCCCUGAAGGUCACCCGGAAGGACCGCGAAGACGCGCGGGCCGGGAGAAGCGGCCGCGCGUGGCCCACGCACGCCUCGGGCCAAUCGCCCCGCCUCCGCCCCGCCGCGUCACUCGUGGCAGGGCGGCUGUCUCGACGCGGUGGACGCGAGUCUCCGGGGCGGAGGGGGAAGGCGGCCGACGGCUGGGCCGCUGCCCCGCGCCACCCUCGCCCGCCCGGUCCCUCGGGCCCCUCACCGGUCGCCGAAUGGCUCCUGUGACGGCGCGCAGCUCCGGCUGGGCGGGCCCGCCGACCCCGCGUCGUGGACCGAGGAAGUGGCUGAGGAGCGCGCGGCCGCCGAGCGGAGCGGCGUCCGGCGCUGGGAUGGGGUCACGCUCUCUCCCUGCUGGCCAGUGGCCGGCCCCUCGCGGCCCUGUCACCGGUUGCCGGGAAGACCCGGACGCGCGCCCCCUGCUGACCGCACAGCCCCUGCGGCCGGAGCGGGAAUUCCGGAGGGCCCGCCUUCUUCCCACGACCAACCAAUCAUUUCGAGGGUUUUUGGUCUGCCCGCCCACCCGGCCUCAUGCCCCCCAAUCAGAGGAAAGGGCGCCGAGAUGGGACUCCCGCCGCCGGGGUGCAGGAGCCGGGUCCGCGCGCGCCCGCCGGGUCCGCGUGCGCCCGCCGGGUCCGCGGCAGUAUUCCCGCGCCUCCUGCUUGUCUGCCGUCGUGCGGACCGCAGCGUGGUAG
rnacentral:lncRNA from 1 species